UGCGCAGGCCCGCCCCAACCGGAAGCGGCGCGGGGCCCAGCAUGGCGGCGGCGGCGGCGCCCGAAGGUGUCCCUGCGAGCCAACGAGAGGAGCCGGUUAGAGACGAUGCCGCGGUGGAGACGGCGGAGGAGGCCAAGGAGCCCGCGGAGGCUGACAUCACUGAGCUCUGCCGGGACAUGUUCUCCAAGAUGGCAACUUACCUGACUGGGGAACUGACGGCCACCAGCGAAGACUAUAAGCUCCUGGAAAAUAUGAAUAAAUUAACCAGCCUGAAGUAUCUUGAAAUGAAAGAUAUUGCUAUAAACAUUAGUAGAAACCUAAAGGACUUAAACCAGAAGUAUGCUGAACUACAGCCUUAUCUGGAUCAAAUCAAUGUAAUUGAGGAGCAAGUAGCAGCUCUUGAACAGGCAGCCUACAAAUUGGAUGCAUAUUCCAAAAAACUGGAGAAGGAAACUGGUUGAAGAGGAUAAAUAGCUUAUAAGGAUACAAAGCUAGUAUGUGGAAGAGCUGUAUUCCAAACCAGAAGCCAAGUACAAGAAGCUGGAGAAGCGAUGAAAAACUUAUGCCUGUGGAACAAAGUCUUUUUUAAUGUGGAAGAAUGAGACCUGAAUCCUGAGGCUGAUGAAUUGUCACAACUCCUCAAAAGGAAACCAUGCUGGCCGUCCCAGAAACAUCCCGCCAUUGGAGUAAACUGGAGAACUGUGGCUACUCCUGAAUUUCUCUUGGGGCAGUAUCCCUCAGAAACGCACACUUAUUACCCCCUACCUUUUACUUGAAUGUUUAAUUAUCCAUUUAGGACACUAAGUCUCUCAAAGUUCAGGAUAAACCUGGGCUUUUCAGUCGAAUCAAAUGAGAGGGCUUAUUUUCUAAGUGGCUGGAUUUUGAGUUACUGUGUAAAUGUUUUUUUUUUUUCUAUUGAGCUAAUGUAUUGCUAACAAGAAUCUAAAUUAAAAAAGGAAAAUAAAACAAACUUCUUCACAGUU